UGGGGAAUAUUGCACAAUGGGCGCAAGCCUGAUGCAGCCAUGCCGCGUGUAUGAAGAAGGCCUUCGGGUUGUAAAGUACUUUCAGCGGGGAGGAAGGGAGUAAAGUUAAUACCUUUACUCAUUGACGUUACCCGCAGAAGAAGCACCGGCUAACUCCGUGCCAGCAGCCGCGGUAAUACGGAGGGUGCAAGCAUUAAUCGGAAUUACUGGGCGUAAAGCGCACGCAGGCGGUUUGUUAAGUCAGAUGUGAAAUCCCCGGGCUCAACCUGGGAACUGCAUCUGAUACUGGCAAGCUUGAGUCUCGUAGAGGGGGGUAGAAUUCCAGGUGUAGCGGUGAAAUGCGUAGAGAUCUGGAGGAAUACCGGUGGCGAAGGCGGCCCCCUGGACGAAGACUGACGCUCAGGUGCGAAAGCGUGGGGAGUAAACAGG
rnacentral:rRNA from 1 species